rnacentral:rRNA from 3 species
GACCGCCUGGGGAGUACGGCCGCAAGGUUAAAACUCAAAUGAAUUGACGGGGGCCCGCACAAGCGGUGGAGCAUGUGGUUUAAUUCGAUGCAACGCGAAGAACCUUACCUGGUCUUGACAUCCACAGAACUUUCCAGAGAUGGAUUGGUGCCUUCGGGAACUGUGAGACAGGUGCUGCAUGGCUGUCGUCAGCUCGUGUUGUGAAAUGUUGGGUUAAGUCCCGCAACGAGCGCAACCCUUAUCCUUUGUUGCCAGCGGUCCGGCCGGGAACUCAAAGGAGACUGCCAGUGAUAAACUGGAGGAAGGUGGGGAUGACGUCAAGUCAUCAUGGCCCUUACGACCAGGGCUACACACGUGCUACAAUGGCGCAUACAAAGAGAAGCGACCUCGCGAGAGCAAGCGGACCUCAUAAAGUGCGUCGUAGUCCGGAUUGGAGUCUGCAACUCGACUCCAUGAAGUCGGAAUCGCUAGUAAUCGUGGAUCAGAAUGCCACGGUGAAUACGUUCCCGGGCCUUGUACACACCGCCCGUCACACCAUGGGAGUGGGUUGCAAAAGAAGUAGGUAGCUUAACCUUCGGGAGGGCGCUUACCACUUUGUGAUUCAUGACUGGGGUGAAGUCGUAACAAGGUAACCGUAGGGGAACCUGCGGUUG